rnacentral:rRNA from 1 species
GUGUCAGCAGCCGCGGUAAGACAGAGGGUGCAAACGUUGCUCGGAUUUACUGGGCGUAAAGCGCGUGUAGGCGGGCGACUAAGUCGGAUGUGAAAUCCCUGGGCUCAACCUAGGAACUGCAUUCGAAACUGGUCACCUAGAGUGAUGGAGAGGAAAGCGGAAUUCCCGGUGUAGAGGUGAAAUUCGUAGAUAUCGGGAGGAACACCAGUGGCGAAGGCGGCUUUCUGGACAUUUACUGACGCUGAGACGCGAAAGCGUGGGGAGCAAACAGGAUUAGAAACCCCAGUAGUCC